UAGGGAAUCUUCCACAAUGGACGCAAGUCUGAUGGAGCAACGCCGCGUGAGUGAAGAAGGUCUUCGGAUCGUAAAGCUCUGUUGUUGGUGAAGAAGGAUAGAGGCAGUAACUGGUCUUUAUUUGACGGUAAUCAACCAGAAAGUCACGGCUAACUACGUGCCAGCAGCCGCGGUAAUACGUAGGUGGCAAGCGUUGUCCGGAUUUAUUGGGCGUAAAGCGAGCGCAGGCGGAAUGAUAAGUCUGAUGUGAAAGCCCACGGCUCAACCGUGGAACUGCAUCGGAAACUGUCAUUCUUGAGUGCAGAAGAGGAGAGUGGAACUCCAUGUGUAGCGGUGGAAUGCGUAGAUAUAUGGAAGAACACCAGUGGCGAAGGCGGCUCUCUGGUCUGCAACUGACGCUGAGGCUCGAAAGCAUGGGUAGCGAACAGGAUUAGAUACCCUGGUAGUCCAUGCCGUAAACGAUGAGCGCUAGGUGUUGGGGACUUUCCGGUUCUCAGUGCCGCAGCAAAUCG
rnacentral:rRNA from 1 species